rnacentral:rRNA from 1 species
UACGAGGGGGGCGAGCGUUGUUCGGAAUUAUUGGGCGUAAAGGGUGCGUAGGCGGUUUGGUAAGUCUCGUGUGAAAUCUACAGGCUCAACUUGUAGUCUGCACGAGAAACUGCCGGGCUUGAGUAUGGGAGAGGUGAGUAGAAUUCCUGGUGUAGCGGUGAAAUGCGUAGAUAUCAGGAGGAACACCUGUGGCGAAAGCGGCUCACUGGACCAUAACUGACGCUGAUGCACGAAAGCUAGGGGAGCAAACAGG